UUAGAGUUUGAUCAUGGCUCAGUGACGAACGCUGGCGGCGCGCCUAACACAUGCAAGUCGAACGAGGUCUUUUAGGAGCUUGCUUUUGGAAGACCGAGUGGCGGACGGGUGAGUAACACGUGAGCAACCUGCCUCGGAGUGGGGGAUAACGUUCGGAAACGAACGCUAAUACCGCAUAACGUAGCGAGAUGGCAUCAUCUUGCUACCAAAGGAGUAAUCCGCUUUGAGAUGGGCUCGCGCCCGAUUAGAUAGUUGGUGAGGUAAUGGCUCACCAAGUCUGCGAUCGGUAGCCGGACUGAGAGGUUGAUCGGCCACAUUGGGACUGAGACACGGCCCAGACUCCUACGGGAGGCAGCAGUGGGGAAUAUUGGGCAAUGGGGGAAACCCUGACCCAGCGACGCCGCGUGAGUGAAGACGGCCUUCGGGUUGUAAAGCUCUGUUUCGGGGGACGAUAAUGACGGUACCCCGGGAGGAAGCCACGGCUAACUACGUGCCAGCAGCCGCGGUAAUACGUAGGUGGCAAGCGUUGUCCGGAAUUACUGGGUGUAAAGGGAGCGUA
rnacentral:rRNA from 1 species